rnacentral:lncRNA from 1 species
CUCACAUCGCUGGGAUGUGGCUCAGAUUGGCCACGGUCGGAGGAGGUUGCUCACAUGGCCGCUAUUAGGAAGGAGACGACCCAGUCCAUAAAGCGCCCAGAAGGGCUGGAUACAGGACCACAGGCCGGAUGUGGCUCUCGUUCUUUUUUCAGAGCUCACCACAAGAUGAUGAUGCAGAUGAUGCCACAUGUACACAAACUUGGCCAACACUUGCUCAUCAGAACAUCCCUAUCAUCAACACCAUCUCCAAUUCUAGAAUUCAAGAUGAACUCCAUUUACGAACGACGGUUUCAGGUCCGGAUUACCUCCCAGACUUUACUGCACCACUUAUAUAAC